rnacentral:rRNA from 1 species
AUUGAACGCUGGCGGAAUGCUUUACACAUGCAAGUCGAACGGCAGCACGGGGCAACCUGGUGGCGAGUGGCGAACGGGUGAGUAAUACAUCGGAACGUGCCCAAUCGUGGGGGAUAACGUAGCGAAAGUUACGCUAAUACCGCAUACGAUCUACGGAUGAAAGCGGGGGAUCGCAAGACCUCGCGCGAUUGGAGCGGCCGAUGUCAGAUUAGGUAGUUGGUGGGGUAAAGGCUCACCAAGCCGACGAUCUGUAGCUGGUCUGAGAGGACGACCAGCCACACUGGGACUGAGACACGGCCCAUACUCCUACGGGAGGCAGCAGUGGGGAAUUUUACGCAAUGGGCGAAAGCCUGACGUAGCGACACCGCGUGAGCGAAGAAGCCCCUUGGGGUGUAAAGCUCUGUCAGCUGGAACGAAAAAAAUAGACGGUACCAGCAGAGGAAGCAUCGGCUAACUACGUGCCAGCAGCCGCGGUAAU